rnacentral:rRNA from 1 species
CUACGUAGGGGGCAAGCGUUGUCCGGAAUUAUUGGGCGUAAAGAGCGUGUAGGCGGUCCGGUAAGUCGGCUGUGAAAGUCCAGGGCUCAACCUUGGGAUGCCGGUCGAUACUGCCGGACUAGAGUUCGGAAGAGGCGAGUGGAAUUCCCGGUGUAGCGGUGAAAUGCGCAGAUAUCGGGAGGAACACCUAUGGCGAAGGCAGCUCGCUGGGACGUUACUGACGCUGAGACGCGAAAGCGUGGGGAGCAAACAGGAUUAGAUACCCUGGUAGUCCACGCCGUAAACGGUGGGUGCUAGGUGUAGGCGGUAUUCCACGCCGUCUGUGCCGCAGCUAACGCAUUAAGCACCCCGCCUGGGGAGUACGGCCGCAAGGCUAAAACUCAAAUGAAUUGACGGGG